rnacentral:rRNA from 1 species
CCCUUAGAUGUUCUGGGCGGCCCGCGCACUACAAUGGCGUGUGCAGCGAGUGCCGAAGUAGAGUUUUCCGAGGUAUUCUUGCAAUGCUCGUUUUGAUGGGGAUAGACCCUUGCAACCGUUGGUUUUGAACGAGGAAUUCCUUGUAAGCAUGGUUUAUCAUCCGACGCUGAAUGCGUCCCUGCCCUUUGUACACACCGCCCGUCGCUCCUACCGAUGAGUCGUCCGGUGAAGUUCGUAGACCUCGUGAUCGCGGAUCACUGGGGGAAGCAAAAUGAACCUCGCGGUUUAGAGGAAGGAGAAGUCGUAACA